rnacentral:lncRNA from 1 species
GACUCUAUGAUUUUGACUACUCUAGGCACCUCAUACUGGAACUAGUUCACAGACCCAAAGAUGCUUGAAUGAAGGAAAGGCAGCCUUCCCUGGAGGAAGAACUCAACAGCGCUUCCACAAAUAGUACAUUUUUACUGAUUAUCAAAGAAGGACUGUGACUAAACUAGAAGGAGAAUUAACACUAUCCAGAGAUGGCUACAGUUCUGAAGGGAAACUUUGAGUCUCCACCUUUCCAAGAGUGGAUAAUCCUCUCUCCACAACUUGAUAAUGCACAAACUGCAAAUCUUCUGGUACUCACUGCUGCAAGCAAACUUGAAGUCUUUCUGAGAUGAUGAAACCAAUGUCCUGAAGUCUGAAGUUCCCUGGCUACAGCCUACUGGCUAGUAAUCAGCAGAGUGGGGAUUUAUGUUCUAGGUCGCUCUUGGUUCCAAGGCCACUGCACUAUGUUGCUUUCCAGCUCCCUGCAGAACAGCAAGUACACUUUCAUAUACACCAUAGAGAAUUUUUGAAAGCCUAAUAAACUAUUCGAUUUAUUAUAGGAUGCUUGAGUUUACCUUUAUGAGACUUUAUUCACAAGAAAUUGUUGCUCCCAAGAGAUAUGCCACAUCUCAAAUCAGUUUUCCUCUCUAAUAUCCAGGAGGUUCUUUGUGGACUUUAGACCCCCAAACUAUUUAAUAGUCUUAAUGGGUAGAAUUUUCUGGUUUUCAUCUAAAUGAUUUAAGUUCCUUGUCAAGAAAAUCGCUAAGUUCUAUUUUUUCUGCAUUUAAGACAAAUAACUGAGCUGUCCUUUCAAAGUUUUAAGCUUAUAAUCCUAAAGAUUGCUAUACAUUAGCUGUAAAGGAAACACUAUUAUAUGGCCAUCUCUUUCCUUUACAGUUACAAAGCACUCAUCAUAUGCCAUAAAUGACUGUACUUACAAUGUCUAUAGGUUUUGAUUGUUUAGAAGAAGGGAAGACUUCUUUAGUUUUUAAUCCAGAUGUAAAGGAAAGGAAAA